UACGUAGGUGGCAAGCGUUGUCCGGAAUUAUUGGGCGUAAAGCGCGCGCAGGCGGUCCUUUAAGUCUGAUGUGAAAGCCCCCGGCUCAACCGGGGAGGGUCAUUGGAAACUGGGGGACUUGAGUGCAGAAGAGGAGAGUGGAAUUCCACGUGUAGCGGUGAAAUGCGUAGAGAUGUGGAGGAACACCAGUGGCGAAGGCGACUCUCUGGUCUGUAACUGACGCUGAGGCGCGAAAGCGUGGGGAGCAAACAGG
rnacentral:rRNA from 1 species